rnacentral:rRNA from 1 species
GUACGUAAGUUGUUGCAGUUAAAAAGCUCGUAGUUGGAUCUCAGGCCUGUGACCGGUGGUCCGCCCGAUACGGGUGUGCACUGCCGUGUCCGGUCUACGUCUGGUUUCAAUCUAUAGUGCUCUUAACCGGGUGCUAUAGAAUGCCAGAAAGUUUACUCUGAAAAAAUUAGAGUGCUUAAAGCAAGCCGUUGUGCUUGAAUACUGUUGCAUGGAAUAAUGGAAUAGGACCUCGGAUCUAUUUUGUUGGUUUUCGGAGUCGAGGUAAUGAUUAAGAGGGACAGACGGGGGCAUUCGUAUUGCGCCGUUAGAGGUGAAAUUCUUGGAUCGGCGCAAGACGAACAACUGCGAAAGCAUUUGCCAAGGAUGUUUUCAUUAAUCAAGAACGAAAGUCAGAGGUUCGAAGACGAUCAGAUACCGUCGUAGUUCUGACCAUAAACGAUGCCAACUGGCGAUCUGCCGCAGUCUGGCUUAAAGGACUCGGCAGGCAGCCUCCGGGAAACCUAAGUCUAUGGGUUCCGGGGGAAGUAUGGUUGCAAAGCUGAAACUUAAAGGAAUUGACGGAAGGGCACCACCAGGAGUGGAGCCUGCGGCUUAAUUUGACUCAACACGGGAAAACUCACCCGGCCAGGACACCGUA